rnacentral:rRNA from 1 species
CCCUUAGAUGUUCUGGGCCGCACGCGUGCUACACUGAGUAAUUCAAUGGGUAAGGGAACGCUAGAGCAUUACCUAAUCUUGAAAUUUGCUCGUGAUGGGGAUCGGCGGUUGCAAUUUUCCGUCGUGAACGAGGAAUACCUUGUAGGCGCAUGUCAUCAUCAUGCGCCGAAUACGUCCCUGCCCUUUGUACACACCGCCCGUCGCUCCUACCGAUUGAGUGAUCCGGUGAGGCUCUGGGACCUGGACGGAAAGAGCGUUUCGCUUGUUCUGUUUGGGAAACUUGGUCGAACCUUAUCAUUUAGAGGAAGGAGAAGUCGUAACA